UUGCCAGCCCGCUCAGAAACUCAAAGGAAUUGACGGGGCCCGCACAAGCGGAGGAGCAUGUGGUUAAUUCGAUGAUACGCGAGGAACCUUACCUGGGCUCGAACGUAAGAUGACUGUAGGUGAAAGCUUACAUCUCUUCGGAGCAUUUUACGAGGUGCUGCAUGGUUGUCGUCAGCUCGUGCCGUGAGGUGUCGGGUUAAGUCCCAUAACGAGCGCAACCCCUACCUUAGUUGCCAUCAGGUUAAGCUGGGGACUCUAAAGGAACUGCCUACGCAAGUAGUGAGGAAGCGGGGAUGACGUCAAAUCAGCACGGCCCUUACGUCCAGGGCUACACACGUGCUACAAUGGCCGAUACAGAGGGCAGCUACCUGGUGACAGGAUGCAAAUCUCCAAAGUCGGUCUCAGUUCGGAUCGGAGUCUGCAACCCGACUCCGUGAAGUUGGAUUCGCUAGUAAUCGCGCAUCAGCCAUGGCGCGGUGAAUACGUUCCCGGGCCUU
rnacentral:rRNA from 1 species